rnacentral:rRNA from 1 species
AACGAACGCUGGCGGCAUGCCUAACACAUGCAAGUCGAACGAGACCUUCGGGUCUAGUGGCGCACGGGUGCGUAACGCGUGGGAACCUGCCCUUAGGUUCGGAAUAACUCCCCGAAAGGGGUGCUAAUACCGGAUAAUGUCUUCGGACCAAAGAUUUAUCGCCUUUGGAUGGGCCCGCGUUGGAUUAGCUAGUUGGUAGGGUAAAAGCCUACCAAGGCGACGAUCCAUAGCUGGUCUGAGAGGAUGAUCAGCCACACUGGGACUGAGACACGGCCCAGACUCCUACGGGAGGCAGCAGUGGGGAAUAUUGGACAAUGGGCGAAAGCCUGAUCCAGCAAUGCCGCGUGAGUGAUGAAGGCCUUAGGGUUGUAAAGCUCUUUUACCCGGGAUGAUAAUGACAGUACCGGGAGAAUAAGCUCCGGCUAACU